rnacentral:rRNA from 1 species
CUACGGGUGGCUGCAGUGGGGAAUAUUGCACAAUGGGCGCAAGCCUGAUGCAGCCAUGCCGCGUGUGUGAAGAAGGCCUUCGGGUUGUAAAGCACUUUCAGCGGGGAGGAAGGCGUUAAGGUUAAUAACCUUGUCGAUUGACGUUACCCGCAGAAGAAGCACCGGCUAACUCCGUGCCAGCAGCCGCGGUAAUACGGAGGGUGCAAGCGUUAAUCGGAAUUACUGGGCGUAAAGCGCACGCAGGCGGUCUGUCAAGUCGGAUGUGAAAUCCCCGGGCUCAACCUGGGAACUGCAUUCGAAACUGGCAGGCUAGAGUCUUGUAGAGGGGGGUAGAAUUCCAGGUGUAGCGGUGAAAUGCGUAGAGAUGUGGAGGAACACCAGUGGCGAAGGCGGCUCUCUGGCCUGUAACUGACGCUGAGGCGCGAAAGCGUGGGGAGCGAACAGGAUUAGAUACCCGUGUAGUC